AAUGUGUGAACUGCAGGAAAACCUCUGGAGCCUCAAUGAGACAAGACAAGAUUCAGUUUUUCGUCUUCAGAUGUGUCUGGUCUUCUGUCCAAAUCUCAUCAUGUUCUUUGCUUUUAUCUUCUGGGGUGUUUCUGAAGGAUCUGUGAAUGAGACUGUCUCCUGUUGUGCUCUUUAUUUACUCAGACCUCUCACGUUACUCUGGGCGGCUCCAUAUAUAAAUGAUUUUCAAG